rnacentral:rRNA from 1 species
UACGGAGGAUGCGAGCAUUAUCCGGAUUUAUUGGGUUUAAAGGGUGCGCAGGCGGCACGGCAAGCCGGCGGUCAAAUCGCGGGGCUCAACCCCGCCCAGCCGUCGGAACUGCCGGGCUAGAGUGGGCGAGAAGUGCGCGGAAUGCGUGGUGUAGCGGUGAAAUGCAUAGAUAUCACGCAGAACUCCGAUUGCGAAGGCAGCGCACCGGUGCCCUACUGACGCUCAGGCACGAAAGCGUGGGUAUCGAACAGG